rnacentral:rRNA from 1 species
UGGGCUCUCAAGCUAACGCAUUAAGUAGACCGGCCUGGGGAGUACGGCCGCAAGGUUAAAACUCAAAUGAAUUGACGGGGGCCCGCACAAGCGGUGGAGCAUGUGGUUUAAUUCGAUGCAACGCGAAGAACCUUACCUACUCUUGACAUCCAGAGAAUUUACCAGAGAUGGUUUAGUGCCUUCGGGAACUCUGAGACAGGUGCUGCAUGGCUGUCGUCAGCUCGUGUUGUGAAAUGUUGGGUUAAGUCCCGCAACGAGCGCAACCCUUAUCCUUAUUUGCCAGCACUUCGGGUGGGAACUUUAGGGAGACUGCCGGUGAUAAACCGGAGGAAGGUGGGGACGACGUCAAGUCAUCAUGGCCCUUACGAGUAGGGCUACACACGUGCUACAAUGGCGUAUACAGAGGGUUGCGAGACCGCGAGGUGGAGCUAAUCUCAUAAAGUACGUCGUAGUCCGGAUUGGAGUCUGCAACUCGACUCCAUGAAGUCGGAAUCGCUAGUAAUCGUAGAUCAGAAUGCUACGGUGAAUACGUUCCCGGGCCUUGUACACACCGCCCGUCACACCAUGGGAGUGGGCUGCAAAAGAAGUGGGUAGCAUAACCUUCGGGAGUGCGCUCACCACUAUAGAGUUUAAGCUGUCC